rnacentral:rRNA from 1 species
GACGAACUGUCCAAACGUUGUUCGGAAUCACUGGGCUUAAAGGGCGCGUAGGCGGUCGGCCAAGUCAGGGGUGAAAUCCUGCAGCUUAACUGUGGGCGUGCGGUCGAUACGGGCAUCACUGGAGUUCGGCAGGGGAGACUGGAAUUCCCGGUGUAGCGGUGAAAUGCGCAGAUAUCGGGAGGAACACCGGUGGCGAAGGCAGCUCGCUGGGACGGUACUGACGCUGAGGCGCGAAAGCGUGGGGAGCAAACAGG